CUCCUCUCAAGAUUGCACUUGGAAAGUUUCCAGUACUCUACCAGUCUCAGCUUUGGGAGGGGAAUCAAGCAGUGGCCUACCCAUUCCAUUCCUAGCUUGGGCAGUGGCUAGUGAGUGGAAGACAAUCUGCUACAAAU
rfam:Ornithorhynchus anatinus chromosome 7, whole genome shotgun sequence.